GUCCUAGCCGUAAACGAUGUUCACUAGGUGUGGGUGGUAUCGACCCCUUCCGCGCCGACGCUAACGCAUUAAGUGAACCGCCUGGGGAGUACGGCCGCAAGGUUGAAACUAAAAGGAAUUGACGGGGGCCCGCACAAGCGGUGGAGUAUGUGGUUUAAUUCGACGCAACACGAAAAACCUUACCUGGGCUUGAAGAGCUGGUUGUAAAAUUCGGAAACGAAAUGACCCGCAAGGGAGCCAGUAGAGGUGCUGCAUGGUUGUCGU
rnacentral:rRNA from 1 species